rnacentral:tRNA from 1 species
GCUCCCGUAGUUUAACUGGACAAAACAAGGCAUUCCUAAUGCUUAGUUCUGGGUUCGAGUCCUGGCGGGAGCA